rnacentral:tRNA from 1 species
GUGUGGUAGUCGAGUGCUAACACUCUGGUCUACCAUUCCAGAGGUCCCCGGUUCAAUCUUUUGCCGGGCCACUGGACA